UAGAAAUACUCUGAAGGCAGCUAUUGGAGCUGGAGUAAAAGAUAAAUUCAGUACUCUUGAAACUGAAGGAGACGGGAUACUUGAGCUGGUCAGUAUGUGGAGCAAAAAGAUAAUGAUGUGACACCAUCAAGGCAGAAUACAGAAGCAGAAUGUGGUGGUGUCUGGGGGUGACUGCCAAGUCCUCUAAUUUCUCAUCAGUGCCCCUUGCUCUCCCCCAGAUACCUGCUGGCAGUGGUAAGGCAGUGUUCCCCUCGCUGUCUGGACUGUUUUGUGGGGUUUCUUACUGUGCCAACCUGUGAUCGGCAGAACUUUGUCUGGAUCCCACAGCUGAGCACAGCUCUGAACCCUCCAGGAGUGGACCUCAAGCAAGACUAGCUCAGUUACAGGCUCAAAGUACACUGUAGAGCAAAGAACAAAGUCCAAAUCAAAACCAGAGGACCUAUUCAUUAAAAAAAAAAAGUAUUUAUUUGUUCCUUACCAAGCAAAAUCAAACCUUAAGCUCUGCUCUCCUUGAGGCUGAAGUGCUACUAAAAAAAAUAUUCUAGAGUACUAUUGUUGUCAUAGAGAAAAGGAGGUUGGGAAUGCUGAAACCACAAAAGGCAUGAAGAAUCAAAUCAACGAAAAUCCAGGAUAUUGUUGUGACUUUGUAUCUUUGCGGAGACUCAGGAACCAGAAGCAGCAGUGGAGAAGCAAGCAGUCUCUUUCCAGACGAAGCUGGGACAACCACUACACAGGAGACGCUUUGGUCUCUCUCAUCCAUACCCAGUUCCAGGAACUUCAGUGGGGCUUUACCACCUACUUGUAGAGACUUCGGCCCAUUGCUGAGCAUGGAUGUGUGCUCACUUAUUUGACAGAACUGCAGCUCAGACAACAAUAAGGAUUUUCAGUAUCCUCAGGCAGUGGUCAAACCAGAAUUCCUGUUGCAUUGCUAUUACAAGUGUGACCUGUGUUAGAUCUGAUCGAAAGCAACCAAGAAAGUAAAAUUGCUUCUAAUCAAAAGGAUGGCCCUCCCUUUGCAGUUGUUCGCUCAACUAUUUUUCUGACUGGUCUGCUCGAUGAGCAAAUGUGCAAGGAGACGGAAAACUUAAUCUUUCAACAUGAAAGAAUACCAAUGCACUGUGAAGAACUGUUUCUAGCUCACUUCUCUCAUGUGGAUUCACGUUGCUGCUAAUUUCCUAAAAUUGGCUACCAGGUUAGCUUCUAAUUUGUUUGAUGAUGCGUGUCGUGGUAUCUGGGAACGCCCAGCAACAUGCCAGAGGCAUUAUAGGAUUUACUAAACCAAAGAUUUUUCUGCAACUAAAUUAAAUCACGUAUCAACAAUACGUCAGAGUUUUAGAAACUUUGUAUUGCCCUGGUUUUGUUACCUGUGUGCUUUGUUCAAAGUGCACACACUGUUUCUUCCCAAAGCAACUAAGCUAGUAAUAUACACAUUAUUCAGUGUGCACCUUUUGGGACCAGGUAAUCAGCCGUUAAAGACAGAGAACCAAAGUGUAUUAUAUUUCAUUUUGCUGACACCUUGCAUGAAGCAAUAUCAAAAUAUGGGGAUAUUUGGUAACCUUUUCUUGUGGGUGUUUGGCACCUGGUUUUAUGAAUUAG